GUAAACCUAUAAUUUUCUGCCAAA
rnacentral:siRNA from 1 species